AUCCUUUUGUAGUUCAUAAACAUAAUGGUUGGGUGUUACGUGCAUGUGUGAAACGUGCCACCCUCCAGCCUUGUUAUGACGUCGACACAUUACCCAUCUGACA
rnacentral:snoRNA from 1 species